CCCUUAGAUGUUCUGGGCCGCACGCGCGCUACACUGAUGCAUUCAACGAGCCUAUCCUUGACCGACAGGUCCGGGUAAUCUUUGAAUCUGCAUCGUGACGGGGAUAGAUUAUUGCAAUUAUUAAUCUUCAACGAGGAAUGCCUAGUAGGCGCAAGUCAUCAGCUUGCGUCGAUUACGUCCCUGCCCUUUGUACACACCGCCCGUCGACUCUACCGAUUGAAUGGUUCGGUGAAAACUUUGGACUGUGGCAUUGUCCUUCAUUGGACUUCGCCGUAGGAAAUUGUUUAAACCUCAUCAUUUAGAGGAAGAAUAGGUCGUAACA
rnacentral:rRNA from 1 species